UCAAAAACACUAAACCCUAAAUCAAAAACACUAAACCCAAAAUCUUAAAAAUACUAAACCUAAGGAUAAAUCUUAAACUCUAAAUCAAAAACACUAAACCCUAAACUCUAAAUCUUGUAUGUGUUUGAAGUCGGUCAUGAGGAUUUGAGGUUUAUAAAAAAAAUUGCAAAAAGGUUUAUAAUAAUUCACAUGAAAAUCAUUUAAUAUCCUCUUUUUGUAUUUUAUAAUUAUCUUUUAUUUCUUUUCUUGGCCAUAUUAUGUAUUUGACAAAUCAUUGUAUCUAAGUUUCUUUGAUUACACUAGACGUACACGUAUAAGUUUAUGUGCACAUGUGUCUCUGCAGAGACCCCAUAAAUAAUUGAGUGAAUUGGUUCAAAAUCCUAUAAAAAGUUAGUAAUUAACAAACUACCUAUAACACAAAUUAUGUGGGUUUUAUUGUGCAACUAGGAGAAUUGAAAUGACAAAACAGUCCUCCUAUCACUUAGAAAACAAUUUAGAGUAAGCCACUAAUAGGUUACAAGUUAAAAUGGUUUUAAAAGAAUUUGUGAGAGAGGAUUGGCAAUGAUUAACCUAAGUAUUUCCCUAUCCCGUUAAUCCAGCCAUUUUAUUUUUAAACUUAAACAAAAUUUCUCUCUUUCUUUUUCAUUAUCGUUGUUUUCUUUCUCAAUCUCCACCUUCAUUUCCUGUUUCUUUUUUUUUCAAUGAAUCUAAUCAAAAUAAAAAAAAGAUCAUGAGUUCCUAACAAUUCAUGAGUUCAUAUGUUCUUCUGCAUUUUUCUCCAUUUUCUUCCUCUACAUAAUCAUUUGAUCUCACUCAACAUUCAUCAACACAGUCCCAAAAUAAGGUUUUGAGUUCUCUCCCCCAUAGUUCAUUUCAAAGAUUUUUUGGGUCACUCUCCGAAGAUCAAGACGGUAGCGGCUCAGAACUAGUUUGCGCACAAACAGAGCAGAGAUCUCAUGUCAGCGUUCAUCACAUAUAAAAGUGUCUUCAACUUGCAAAAGGCUAUUUUGUAACAGAGCCACUCAAAGCACUUUCGGUGUCAAAGAGAGAUAGUUCCUUGCGUUCGUCAUUGUCAAGGUGAGUGUAAAAAGAGUGUUGUAGCCUUUUUGGUCGGUUGCAUAAAAGUUUAGCUUGUUUUUGGUUUGUUUUGUGGCUAAACUUUCUUGUAACCGUAUAUAAAUAUUUUAAUGAUGUAGUAUGUUUUCUGAAAACGGUUACGUAAGAGUUUAGCGAGGUGUCAUAUUAUUUUGGUUUGACAAGCUCUAUUAUAACAAUUAAUGUAAUAUAUAAACUUCAAUGAAUAAUGUAACCACCUUGUCAAAUUUGUCGGUAACAAGAAAGUUUAGCUUGUUUUGGGAAGUUUUUGUGGCUAAACUUUCUUUAACCAUAUAUGAAAAAUUUCAAGGAUGUAGUCUGUUUUCUGAAAACGGUUACAAAUGAGUUUAUCAAAAUGUCGGAUUGUUUUGGUUUGUCAAAUUCUCUUGUAACGUUAAUAUAAUAUAUAAUCUUCAGUUAUAGAAUUAAUGGAGCCACAGUUAAUCUUGUGGAUGUUAUAACCGCAGAUGAAAAAUGUAUUUUAUACAAAAAAACAUGAUUGCGAGAGAUAACCAUAGGGAAAGUGUAGUUUGUUUAAGAAAUCAACAAACAUUGUCAGCUCCAUCACCAACUGUCACACACUUUUCGAAUCUCAAAGUGCUUAUAGAGAAAACUGAACAAAUAAACAAAAAAGCUCAAAGAUUUUAUCGUUUUAGAUCUUCAAAAACAGGCCCUUGAAUUGGAGAACCUCUGUUCAUUUUCUUCUUCUUCGUCUUGAUGUUCAACCUCAAUAGACCAUCUGGACAAUCCUGCCAAGAUAAGAAAGAAGCGAAUUUUCCGAAGAAUUAGAAACAAGUAUUAAUCUAAAGAAAGAGGACAAGCAAGAACAACAAAAGAAGGUGACAAAAA